GAUGAACGCUGGCGGCGUGCCUAACACAUGCAAGUCGAACGGAGUCCCGCCUUAGAGACCUUCGGGUCAAAGAGGGGAAGACUGAGUGGCGGACGGGUGAGUAACACGUGGGCAACCUGGCUCAUAGAGGGGGAUAACAGAGAGAAAUUUCUGCUAAUACCGCAUAAGCACACACUGCCGCAUGGCAGAGUGUGAAAAGAGAAUCGCUAUGAGAUGGACCCGCGUCUGAUUAGCCAGUUGGCAGGGUAAGAGCCUACCAAAGCGACGAUCAGUAGCCGAUUUGAGAGGAUGAACGGCCACAUUGGGACUGAGACACGGCCCAAACUCCUACGGGAGGCAGCAGUGGGGGAUAUUGCACAAUGGGGGGAACCCUGAUGCAGCGACGCCGCGUGAGUGAAGAAGUAUUUCGGUAUGUAAAGCUCUAUCAGCAGGGAAGAUAAUGACAGUACCUGAAUAAGAAGCCCCGGCUAACUACGUG
rnacentral:rRNA from 1 species